CAUUACCGAAUUGUCAACAAGAGUUGUUGCUGGUCCUCAAAUGGGGACAUGUGCACACUCUGUUCACACAUCCACUCACACCCUGUGCACCCUCCGUGGUUCUAUGGUCAGGGGGCCUGUCCUCCUGCUGUGGUUCUGCGUCUUUACACACACACUGUAACAAAGUCUCAUGGAAUGCAUGCCGCGUUUAACGCAAUACAAUACAACUUUCAGCAACGGAUCUCUUGGCUCUCGCAUCGAUGAAGAACGCAGCGAAAUGCGAUAAGUAAUGUGAAUUGCAGAAUUCAGUGAAUCAUCGAAUCUUUGAACGCACCUUGCGCCCUUUGGACAUUCCGAAGGGCAUGCCUGUUUGAGUAUCAUGAACACCUCAACUCUUCAUGGUUUUCCAUGAUGAGCUUGGACUUUGGGGGGUUUUGCUGGCUUACAGUCAGCUCCUCUAAAAUAAAUCAGCUUGCCAGUGUUUGGUGGGUAUCGCAGGUGUGAUAACUAUCUACGCUUGUGGUUUUUCACCAGGUAACCUUCAGCAGUGGAGGUUCAUUGGAGCUCACAGACAUGUCUCUCCUCAGUGAGGACAGCCCUUUGAAUGUUUG
rnacentral:rRNA from 1 species